CGUUGAAAACGACUCAAAAGUGAGUCGUUUUCGACUCACUUCGAAACUUUUGCUGAAAUGUCAAAAGGUGAGUAGGAUUAUUUAUUCGAACUGAGUAGCUUUUGACUCACUCAACGCAGUUUGAACGUUUACUCUCUUUUGAGUAUCUAGCAUAUUGAAAACGACUCACAUAACCGUCAAAAACUUAGUCGCUACCAAGGUCGCUGCUUACCGAACUACUACGGACGAGACUACGGAAAAAGUGAAUAUUUGGAGAGAAAUACAACAAUUAGGUACUGAAAACUCAACGGGAAAGAGUAAAUUCAAAAUGUGAGAGAAUGUCAAAACAUUUGAUUUUCCCUAGGGUUCUCCCAAGCUUUUGCGAAUUGCGUUAGAGAAGACGACAUUAUUUUAUACGGCGCUAUAAAACCAAUAUUUCAGGCCGCCAACAUUGCAUUCAAAUGCAGUAGACGUUCGCUCGGUGCAACAUGCACAAACAUGCAAGAAGAGACAAGAACAACAAAGAAUACCAUGAAGCCGAGCACGAACAGUUAACAAAUAUAUAAAUAUUAUGUAUCGACCAGCAUUAUUUAAAGUAAUAAACAUACUUCGUUAUUCUUUUAUUAUUGUUGUUUAAUGAAAAAAAACAUAAGAACGCAAAAUUUGGAAAUUCGGGAUUUAUUUUUACAAAAGCGAGUAAUUUUCUACUCAUUUUUGCAUUUCAGUGCUUUUAUAAAGUGAGUAACUUUUAACUCACUUUUAA